rnacentral:misc_RNA from 1 species
CCGAGUUAUCCAACUCCCAAACCCCUGUGAACAUACCUACGUUGCUUCGGCGGGUCGUCCCGCGGCGCGCCCUCGUGGCGUGACCCGGAUCCAGGCGCCCGCCGGGGAACCCAAACUCUUGUCUUCCAGUAUCUCUUCUGAGUGGCAUAAGCAAAAAUAAAACA